GGCAGGUUACUUUAGUGGCGGACGGGUGAGUAACACGUGAGAAUUUACCUUUAGGAGGGGAAUAACAGUUGGAAACGACUGCUAAUGCCGCAUAUCAUAACUAUGAAAGAAGAAAUUCGCCUAAAGAAAAGCUUGCGUCUGAUUAGCUAGUUGGUAAGGGUAAAGGCCUACCAAGGCGACGAUCAGUAGCUGGUUUGAGAGGACGACCAGUCACACUGGAACUGAGACACGGUCCAGACUCCUACGGGAGGCAGCAGUGGGGAAUUUUCUGCAAUGGGCGAAAGCCUGACAGAGCAAUACCGCGUGAGGGAAGAAAGCCCACAGGGUUGUAAACCUCUUUUGUCAAGGAAGAAGUUCUGACGUUACUUGACGAAUAAGCAUCGGCUAACUCCGUGCCAACAGCCGCGGUAAGACGGGGGAUGCAAGUGUUAUCCGGAAUCACUGGGCGUAAAGCGUUUGUAGGUGGUUUAGUAAGUCUAUUAUUAAAGCUUGAAGCUUAACUUCAAAAGUGUAAUAGAAACUACUAGACUAGAGGAUAGUAGGGGUAAAGGGAAUUUCCAGUGGAGCGGUGAAAUGCGUAGAGAUUGGAAGGACACCGAUGGCGAAGGCACUUUACUGGGCUAUUUCUGACACUAAGAGACGAAAGCUAG
rnacentral:rRNA from 1 species